AGUGAACGCUGGCGGCGUGCUUAACACAUGCAAGUCGAACGAGAACGGAAUAUAGCUUGCUAUAUUUGUCAGCUAAGUGGUGCACGGGUGAGUAAUGUAUAGAUAACCUGCCCUUAAGAAAGGAAUAACAGUUGGAAACGACUGCUAAUGCCCUAUAUGCCUUUAAUACAUAAGUAUGCAAGGGAAACGCUUUAGUGCUUAAGGAUGGGUCUGUAUGGUAUCAGCUUGUUGGUGAGGUAAUGGCUCACCAAGGCUAUGACGCCUAACUGGUUUGAGAGGAUGGUCAGGCACACUGGAACUGAGACACGGUCCAGACUCCUACGGGAGGCAGCAGUGGGGAAUAUUGCACAAUGGACGAAAGUCUGAUGCAGCAACGCCGCGUGGAGGAUGACACAUUUCGGUGCGUAAACUCCUUUUAUAUAGGAAGAUAAUGACGGUACUAUAUGAAUAAGCACCGGCUAACUCCGUGCCAGCCGCCGCAGUAA
rnacentral:rRNA from 1 species